rnacentral:rRNA from 1 species
UGGGGAAUAUUGGACAAUGGGCGCAAGCCUGAUCCAGCCAUGCCGCGUGAGUGAUAAAGGCCCUAGGGUUGUAAAGCUCUUUCACCGGUGAAGAUAAUGACGGUAACCGGAGAAGAAGCCCCGGCUAACUUCGUGCCAGCAGCCGCGGUAAUACGAAGGGGGCUAGCGUUGUUCGGAUUUACUGGGCGUAAAGCGCACGUAGGCGGACUUUUAAGUCAGGGGUGAAAUCCCGGGGCUCAACCCCGGAACUGCCUUUGAUACUGGAAGUCUUGAGUAUGGUAGAGGUGAGUGGAAUUCCGAGUGUAGAGGUGAAAUUCGUAGAUAUUCGGAGGAACACCAGUGGCGAAGGCGGCUCACUGGACCAUUACUGACGCUGAGGUGCGAAAGCGUGGGGAGCAAACAGG